AGAUGAAGACAUAUUAUAUAAAUAGAUCACUUUUUUAAGGCUUCUUUUGAGAGGUUUUCAAAAGCAAUCAUAGAAAUUCGGACAUACAGAAGAUCAAUUGCAACUUGCCUACUAACUAUGGCAUAAGACAUAGGAUGCAAAUAUUCUAAAUAUUGCUUCUUUUCAUCUUCAUACAUAUCUAUGAACAUAAGACAAUCUUCUUCAUUGUAUUCUUCAAAUGCACACCAAAGAUUACCCUGAAAAUGACGGUCACGAAUAUGUUUAUACCAAGCAUCAUAAUUACCAUAAAGAUUUAACCAUUGCAUAUUUUCACGAUAUUUAUUGAUAAUAUUCAUAAGAUUGACUAGUGAAUAUGAGAGAAAUAGAGAAUAGGGACUUAUUUCCUUCAAACAUAUGGCUUUGAUACCAACUAUCAGAGUGGCCAGCAUCCUUCAAGAUAUUCCCGAUCAAACACAGCCAUUCUCUCGGCUUUCAACGAUCAAGGAACUUUUAUGAAGCGACUUUGGAUACCCUUCUAGCCAUGUAUCAUUGACUUUUUUGAAGGAAAUAAAAGAAAACUUAAGCUGACAUAUUUGUAAACACUCGAAAAUUUAGAUUUGGAUAAGAGAUGACCUUCCAAAUGGAAUGAUUCAUCUAUUUAUAGUACAAAUCUUACGAACACUUUGUACAGUAAUAUGACCUUUGGGAAAACUUUCCUGAAGGGUCACUUGACUCUUUAGAAUAAAGCAUUUGACUCUUUGGAAUAAAGCAGUAAAAUGGCCGACAAUGUGACAGCCCCACCUUCCCCUAAGGCGAACCAAAGGGGUUAGCGGACUGCCUAUCCAUCUCUCGCCAGGACUAACGAGACAGUUCAAUGCGAUCUAAAAUGUUCCGGAACACACAAGCGCGCUUAAACAAGUCAAAAUUACAAAAAUAAAAAAACGAAAACUCGGAUCCGGCCUUUGCUCUCUGGCCAGUAUCCAGCUAGGAAUCCGGCCAGAUUCCGGUCGGAUUCUGAAGUGUCCGGCACUGUUCAUGUUGGCUCCGAUUUUUCAUUUUUUUUAAUUUUUGUAAUUUUGACUUGUUUAAGCGCGCUUGUGUGUUCUGGAACGUUUUAGAUCGCAUUGAACUGUCUCGUUAGUCCUGGAAAAAGUUGGGCAGGCAGUCCGCUAACUCCUUUGGUUCGCCUUAGGGGAAGGUGGGGCUGUCACAGACAACCUUUUCUGACUUUUGGGAUAUAAACAAAAACAGUAACUUAAUCAUUUUACAUACAACUUUAACUAAUGGCUGACAUCUUUAUUAUGGGUCUUCAUCAAUAAAGCUCAUCAUGUGAUCUUCAUCUGGAGUAUCUGAUGGAGUGGAAUUUGGAUCUAUGAUAUUCAUGAUCCUUUUUGUUUUUCCUUUUGUUGAUCUGUCUUUUCCAUUCAGGACGUAUCUUGUAAGAAGGUAUGGAUAGUCCGGCUUUUGACGUUUGCUGUGAAUUUUCUAUUUCAUAUGGAUCUUGAGAAUCUUGCAUAACAGAAGAAUUCAUCAUGCCUGUCCAUUGUUUUUUGGCUCUUUGGACUUUUGUCCAGUAUGGAUGGCUAUUCUGGAAAUUCCACGAGCCAUAAGGUUCUGGCCAAAUUUCAGGAGGAAUGCAUAUGUUUUCUUGGAAUAUAUAUAUCUCUGAGCUUCCCCAUAUUCAUCAUCUUGAUCUAAAAUAGUAUGAGUCAGUUCCUUAUAAAUAAUUGCACUUGGAAGGGACUGAAUUUGGUUAUUGAUGAGAUGACAAGGUCUGUGAAAAUGGAAAAGAGUAUGAUUGGAAUUUGUUGAGAAUAGACCAGACCAAUAUGGAAAAGAUUCAAAAGUUUCAGCAAGAGUUAUAAAGAUUUUCCUAAAAGAAAUGGAGGUAUUUUAAAAGGAAAGGCAAGCAGUCUCAAGGAAAGAAAGGAAACAAAUGUUUCAUAUGUGGAAAGUCGGGACAUUUUGCAAAAAAAUUGUCCUCAAAACCAAAAGGGAGUACAUCUUAUCUCAGAAAUUCAGAAUGAGCUUUAUUUUCAUAUUUCUGAUUCAGAAUCUGAAUUUUCUGAACAAGAAGAACCAACUGACUUUACUCUUUUGGCUUUACAGGUCCUUGAUGAAGUUUUUGCUGCAACUCCAGUACAAAUUGAUAAGAAAACUUAUCCUCAAGCUUUUGUUCAUAUUCUCUUGGAUAAGUAUUCUCAACCUAUUCCUCUUAUUGCAAUUUUUGAUACUGGUGGUGCUGCACUUUCCAUAAUGAAAAAAGACAUUUUACCAGAUAAGUAUUGGACUCCAUAUGUUCAUGAGAGUUACCAAAUUGAGAGUUUUCUCUUAUUCCUUGGGGAACGUCCCUUGAUACAAAGUGAGUCGAAUCUCCUUUGUUCAAGUUUUGGCUUAUCAAUUCAAGACCAUGUUGAAUUGUGGCGCCAUUCUACCAUUCUAAAUAAUCUUGAGCUGUCCUUGAUUGGUUUAGAAUCCGUCUUUUGUACCCAUAACCUAAUCAAGAUAGAUCCUUCCGCUGCUUGAUCAAUUCGAUUUCUUCUCGAGCGGUCCUUGGAGAAUCGGGUUCGUAUAAAAAACUCUCAAUUUCUGGUGCAUUAUUUGAUGAUCCAAAACAUUACCCUAGGUAGGCUAUUUAUAGCCUUACAAGUAGAAAAGCUAAUGUGAAACGGAAAAGCUAAAACAUGACAAAGUUUCCUAAAUUUUAGGACACUUAAAAUCGGCUCUCAAGGCAUCCAAGCUGGCCGAAUUAUUCCUCUAGUUGAAAUGACUAAAACAUGACUCCAAAUAACCAACUAAACUACUAAACACCAUUAUGGAUUCAGUGACAACUACUUGAACUCGGUUGAGGUCAAUCGUGAUCCUUCUUUGCUUGAAUAACAUGGACAACCUUCAAACCUUCAUGUUCGAGUCCCUCAAUGACUUUGGGGACAAUUUCUUGGCUUUGCACCUUAAGAACAAGCCCUUGAAGUUCCUUCGCAUCUUCUUAGCUCGAACUCGCAUCACGGGUCCUAGAGGAACUCGAACCUUAGCCAAUGGUAUCUCUUGAUUCAUAUUAGGGGGCCUUCGGGUUUCUUUAAGUCCACGCGAGGUGUUCGUCAAGACGAUCCGUUAUCUCCUGUCCUAUUUUUAUUUGCCGUUGAAUUUCUUGGUGUCGCGCCCCAUUUUUUGAUAAAUAAAUAAAAUGGUUUAAAAAUGUAUUUUGAUUUAAUUUAUGAUUGGAAAAUGAAUUGUGAUUUAAAAGAAAAAUGGGUCUAAAUGGGGGUUUGAAAAUGCGACGAUUUGACCCAAAAUUAUAGUUUAAAAAGGGUUUUUGAAAAAAAUGGGAGUCGCCACUUGGUAAUGAGUUAAGGUGUACCAAGUCACCUAAAAAUGGAUUUUUUAGGAAAAAGUUGUAAGAAACCCCUUUUAAACGACUCCUAAUCCACGUAAACCAAAAAAAAGGUUCGGGAGUCCAUUUGACGAAGGGGAAGGCAAGGAUAAAAAUCCAAGGCACCCCUUCGACCUAGCCAAGGCUAGUUGAAUGAUUUAAUCAAAGUUUUUCUUAUUUUAACCAAAGAAUUUAUUACAUUUGGAUGCACUACAUGAAUGCAAAAGGAAAGAAAAAAUGCAAACCUAAAUUCUAAAAUGUCUCUUGUAAGGUUUUUGGUCCCAACCACAUGAAUUGUGGCGGCCAAUAAAGGAAAACCUUAUAGAGGUCGAUUAAUGCAAAUGAUGGCUAAAGUGCAAGUGUGCAAGUGUAUAAAAAGGUGCACGUGUGAAAUUGUAUGAAAAGUCCAAGUGUUUGUGUGCAAGUGUAUGGAAAGGUGCAUGUGUGAAUUUGUAUGAAAAAUCCAAGUGUUUGUGUGCAAGUGUAUAAAAUAUAGUGAUAAGUGCAUAUAGGUGUAAUUAAGUGCAAUUUUGUGAAGUAGAAAUCAAAAUGAACAAUAAGGAAAGGAAAAGUGAUAAGGAAAUGUGAAUUGAAAAAAAUGAGUAAGUGAUAAAUGAGAAUGAAUGAACCUAAAGGAAUGCAUCAGGUCGGGUGUGGGAAUGACUCCUAACUUUUUCGACUUCGAUUUUCCCUUUGAUUAGAAGGCAAAACUAACGUGCUAAGGCUAUCGAGUAGCCACACUCGCUCGUUUCCCUUAUCGGAAGGGGACACUCAAGCAAAAUGAACCCUAUAGCUAGUAUGGGAUGCAAAACCUAAAAUGAGAGGAAAAGGGGUUUGAGGAUCAUGCCAAAUGAUAAAACUAAGAAAAAUGCGUGAUAUGUGGUGAACAAGCAAAUGAUGUACUAUCGAGGGAAAAUCCCUAAGGGUCUAGCAUUGGACUAGCCCAUUCUAUGAAUUCCGACUAGCGUUGGACUAGUGGAAACGAUAAAAGAAGCCACAACUAGCGUUGGACUAGUGUGGUGACGUACAUUCAUCCAUUCCAUUCAUCCACACUAUGGAAAGCAAGUAGACAUACUAAAUACUCAUAAACACGUAGCACGUAACAUUUAGCAUGCUCGACUAGAUGCAAGGACCUAAUAAAGCGAUUAAACACUUAACACGUAGGCAUGCAACCAACUAAUGAACCUAUUACAUUCACUAACUAAAACAAAAAGGGGAAGGGAAAAAUGGACCAAAUUGCUCGCCACAGCCCUAUCUAUUACAAGCCAAGAGGUGUACACAUACCCCAUUUAAAAGAAUAAUUUAAUAAAAGCAAGAAUGAAUGAAAUAAUGGAACUAAAGAAUGGUAAUGAGAGCAAAUUAGGCAUGCGAUUCACACUUAGCACAUUGGAUCACAUAGGAGAGACAAAAGGGAUAAAAGAAAUUAUACCUCCCUUGAAAUGAAGCUCUAAUGGAGUGAAAUCAACUUACUUACCCUCCAAAAUAAUAAAAGCAUCAAGGCAUCACUUUAAUCAAGAAAAUAAUCACAAAAGAUAAAAAUGAAUCAUGAAAUUAAAUGAAUUAAAUCAUAUAAACAAUCUACAUGCAAGAAAUUAAAACAAUGAAGGACUUGAUUGCAAUAAUUAACAAAGUUUGGAGGUCAACAUUAAAGAAAAAUCAAGUUCAGGGACCUAUUUGCAAUUAAUUUAGCGACCCAAUUGACAGCAUUGAAAGUUUGUAGGGCCCUAGUGAAAUUGAAGAAAAGUACAGGGGCUGAUCUGCAAAUUCGUUCUCUGGUUUCUUAAUGGAUCAAGCCACUUGGGCCGUUUUUCCUCAUUUGCUUGGGCUAAAACCUUCCAGGCCCAAUCGGAAAUCCAAAACAAAAGGGAAUGUGCCAUUUUCACUUUUCUUGGGCCAAGAUCACUUGACCCAAUCGGAAGCCCAAGGAAAAACAAGUAGGCUUGUAUAUUAUUUUGGCCAAAAAUUAGCCAACCAAAUAGAUGGGCCUUGACCCUCUAGCCCAAACCAAAAACCCAAAAGAAAAUAAACUAAAACCCACAUUUGCAAACCCAGUCAAAAUAUAAUUACCCAAAAAUCUAAAUCAUAAUACUAAAUCCAACAACAUAGACAAAAUCAGCAAAAAAAAAAAAAAAAUAUUGAGCCACAAUUAUGAACUAAAAUCCAGGAUUAAUCUAUCCAAAAAGUCACAUAAAAUAUGCAAACAGAGGAUUAAGCUUAAAAGGGUGAAAUUAGUUUGAUUUUUUCAGAUUGUGGGCCACAAUCAGAUUAGACAGGAAUGAGGGGUUAGAUUGCAAUUCUAAAAAAAACCCACGGAAGAACAGCUUUCUUCCUCAUUAGACAAGAGCUUCUGCAACUUGGUUAUUUACAGACCCAACUCACAAACACAAUCAAAUCUAACUUGAACUUGAACAAACAAAGCUACUACCGAAACCUUUACUUUGCAACAUGAAACCUCUAAAUUUAAACCCAAAAAAGUCAGACAAAAGAGCAUGCAAAUAUUAAAACAACAUUCUGCAAUUUUCCGGCUACAAUCCGAAAGAUGAUCAUGCAAAAUAAUGGGAACGAAUACUUAGUGAUUCGUCCACCCAAACCCACAUGAAUUCAAAAUCUUCAACUUUAUCAUAAUUCAGGCAUAGUUAUCUAUCAUCAGUGAUCCCAACAGAGAGUAUCCAGGCAAAAAAAAAAAAAAAAAAAAA
rnacentral:lncRNA from 1 species